AGGUCCUGCCUGCCCAGUGACUAUGUUAAACGGCCGCGGUAUUUUGACCGUGCAAAGGUAGCGCAAUCACUUGUCUUUUAAAUGAAGACCUGUAUGAAUGGUGGAACGAGGGCCUAACUGUCUCCCUUUUCAAGUCAAUGAAAUUGAUCUACCCGUGCAGAAGCGGAUAUACAAAUACAAGACGAGAAGACCCUUUGGAGCUUAAGAUUAAAAAUCAACUAUGUUAAAUAUUUACCAAAUAAAACUAAAUAGCAACUGAUCAUAAUCUUCGGUUGGGGCGACCACGGAAUAAAAAUAAACUUCCACAUGGACUGAGGACUAACCUUAAAACCAAGAAAGACAUUUCUAAGUCACAGAAUUUCUGACCACACAGAUCCGGCUGAUUGCCGAUCAAUGGACCAAGUUACCCUAGGGAUAACAGCGCAAUCCCCUUUUAGAGUUCCUAUCGACAAGGGGGUUUACGACCUCGAUGUUGGAUCAGGAC
rnacentral:rRNA from 1 species